rnacentral:tRNA from 1 species
GGGGAUUUAGCUCAGUGGUAGAGCGCUUGCCUAGCAAGCGCCUGGGUUCAGUCCCCA